AUGGCUCAGGAUUAACGCUGGCGGCAUGCCUAAUACAUGCAAGUCGAAUGGUUAGCUUGCUAACCGAUGGCGAACGGGUGAGUAACACGUAGGUAACCUGUCUUCAAGACGAGGAUAACCAUUGGAAACGAUGGAUAAUACUGGAUAGGACAAAUCCCCGCAUGAGGAGAUGUUUAAAGGAGCAAUCCACUUGAUGAGGGGCCUGCGGUGCAUUAGCUAGUUGGUGAGGUAAAGGCCCACCAAGGCGAUGAUGCAUAGCCGGACUGAGAGGUUGAACGGCCACAAUGGAACUGAGAACGGUCCAUACUCCUACGGGAGGCAGCAGUAGGGAAUUUUCGGCAAUGGGCGGAGGCCUGACCGAGCAAUGCCGCGUGAACGAUGAAGUAUUUCGGUAUGUAAAGUUCUUUUAUUUGGGAAGAAAAAACAAAUUGACGGUACCAAAUGAAUAAGCUCCGGCUAACUACGUGCCAGCCGCUGC
rnacentral:rRNA from 1 species